GCUGGGCGUGGUGGCUCAUGCCUGUAAUCCCAGCACUUUGGGAGGCUGAGGCAGGCGGAUCACCUGAGGUCAGGAGUUCGAGACCAGCCUGACCAACAUGGAGAAACCCUGUCUCUA
rnacentral:SRP_RNA from 2 species